rnacentral:rRNA from 1 species
UCCUCCCUCUGGCGGCGUGCCUAAUACAUGCAAGUUGAGCGAUGAAGAUUGGUGCUUGCACCAAUUUGAAGAGCAGCGAACGGGUGAGUAACGCGUGGGGAAUCUGCCUUUGAGCGGGGGACAACAUUUGGAAACGAAUGCUAAUACCGCAUAACAACUUUAAACAUAAGUUUUAAGUUUGAAAGAUGCAAUUGCAUCACUCAAAGAUGAUCCCGCGUUGUAUUAGCUAGUUGGUGAGGUAAAGGCUCACCAAGGCGAUGAUACAUAGCCGACCUGAGAGGGUGAUCGGCCACAGUGGGACUGAGACACGGCCCAAACUCCUACGGGAGGCAGCAGUAGGGAAUCUUCGGCAAUGGACGAAAGUCUGACCGAGCAACGCCGCGUGAGUGAAGAAGGUUUUCGGAUCGUAAAACUCUGUUGGUAGAGAAGAACGUUGGUGAGAGUGGAAAGCUCAUCAAGUGACGGUAACUACCCAGAAAGGGACGGCUAACUACGUG